rnacentral:rRNA from 1 species
UACGGAGGGUGCAAGCGUUAUCCGGAUUCACUGGGUUUAAAGGGUGCGUAGGUGGGUUUGUAAGUCAGUGGUGAAAUCUCCGUGCUUAACAUGGAAACUGCCAUUGAUACUAUGGGUCUUGAAUUAUCUGGAGGUCAGCGGAAUAUGUCAUGUAGCGGUGAAAUGCUUAGAUAUGACAUAGAACACCAAUUGCGAAGGCAGCUGGCUACAGGUUGAUUGACACUGAGGCACGAAAGCGUGGGGAUCAAACAGG